rnacentral:tRNA from 1 species
GUCAGGGUGGCCGAGUGGUCUAAGGCGCCAGACUCAAGCUUAGCUUCCUCGAAGGUGAGGGUUCUGGUCUCCCCUGGAGGCGUGGGUUCGAAUCCCACUCCUGACA